UAGCAAUAUUCUGUAGUUGGAGCGGCGCAAGGGUGCGUAACACGUGGGUAAUCUGCCAUGAAGCUUGGGAUAACUCGCUGAAAGGCGAGCUAAUACCGGAUGUGACGAUUGGAAGGCAUCUUCUGAUCUUCAAAGUUGGGGACCGUAAGGCCUGACGCUUCAUGAUGAGCCCGCGGCCUAUCAGCUAGUUGGUGAGGUAACGGCUCACCAAGGCUAAGACGGGUAGCUGGUCUGAGAGGACGACCAGCCACACUGGAACUGAGACGCGGUCCAGACACCUACGGGUGGCAGCAGUCGAGAAUUUUUCACAAUGGGGGAAACCCUGAUGGAGCGACGCCGCGUGGGGGAUGAAUGGCUUCGGCCCGUAAACCCCUGUCAUUCGCGAACAAUGCCUGUGUAUUAACACCAUACAGGUUGAUAGUAGCGGAAGAGGAAGGGACGGCUAACUCUGUGCCAGCAGCCGCGGUAAUACAGAGGUCCCAAGCGUUGUUCGGAUUCACUGGGCGUAAAGGGUGCGUAGGCGGUCGGGUAAGUCUGAUGUGAAAUCUCACAGCUUAACUGUGAAACUGCAUUGGAUACUAUUCGGCUUGAGGUCUGGAGGGGGGACUGGAAUUCUCGGUGUAGCA
rnacentral:rRNA from 1 species